ACAUAAGUCACCUGGGAAUCUUGUUAAAAUAGAUUCUGUUUCUAAAGACCUAGGGUGAAGCCUGAGAUUCAAUAUGUUAAUAAGCUCCCAAGUGAUGGUGAU
rnacentral:pre_miRNA from 1 species